rnacentral:rRNA from 1 species
AGUGAACGCUGGCGGUAGGCCUAACACAUGCAAGUCGAGCGGCAGCACAGUAAGAGCUUGCUCUUACGGGUGGCGAGUGGCGGACGGGUGAGGAAUACAUCGGAAUCUACUUUUUCGUGGGGGAUAACGUAGGGAAACUUACGCUAAUACCGCAUACGGCCUACGGGUGAAAGCAGGGGAUCUUCGGACCUUGCGCGAUUGAAUGAGCCGAUGUCGGAUUAGCUAGUUGGCGGGGUAAAGGCCCACCAAGGCGACGAUCCGUAGCUGGUCUGAGAGGAUGAUCAGCCACACUGUAACUGAGACACGGUCCAGACUCCUACGGGAGGCAGCAGUGGGGAAUAUUGGACAAUGGGCGCAAGCCUGAUCCAGCCAUACCGCGUGGGUGAAGAAGGCCUUCGGGUUGUAAAGCCCUUUUGUUGGGAAAGAAAAGCAGCAGGUUAAUACCCCGCUGUUCUGACGGUACCCAAAGAAUAAGCACCGGCUAACUUCGUG